rnacentral:rRNA from 1 species
GAGUUUGAUCCUGGCUCAGGACGAACGCUGGCGGCGUGCUUAACACAUGCAAGUCGAACGAGGUCCAUUGCGAGCUUGCUCAAGAGAAGACCUAGUGGCGAACGGGUGCGUAACACGUGAGGAACCUGCCCCAGACUUGGGAAUAACAGUCGGAAACGGCUGCUAAUACCGAAUACCUUCGUAGCGUCGCAUGGCGCAUCGAAGAAAGCUUUUGCGGUUUGGGAGGGUCUCGCGGCCUAUCAGCUUGUUGGUGAGGUAACGGCUCACCAAGGCAUCGACGGGUAGCUGGUCUGAGAGGAUGAUCAGCCACACUGGGACUGAGACACGGCCCAGACUCCUACGGGAGGCAGCAGUGGGGAAUAUUGCACAAUGGGCGAAAGCCUGAUGCAGCAACGCCGCGUGCGGGAAGAAGGCCCUAGGGUUGUAAACCGCUUUCAGCAGGGAAGAAACUGACGGUACCUGCAGAAGAAGGUGCGGCCAACUACGUGCCAGCAGCCGCGGUGACACGUAGGCACCAAGCGUUGUCCGGAUUUAUUGGGCGUAAAGAGCUCGUAGGCGGUUCAGUAAGUCGGGUGUGAAAACUCUGGGCUCAACCCAGAGACGCCACCCGAUACUGCUGUGACUUGAGUACGGUAGGGGAGUGGGGAAUUCCUGGUGUAGCGGUGAAAUGCGCAGAUAUCAGGAGGAACACCAGUGGCGAAGGCGCCACUCUGGGCCGUAACUGUCGAUGAGCAGCGAAAGUAAUCCUAGCAAACAGGCUCAGAUUCGCUCGUAGUCCUCACCGUAAGCGCAGAGUGGUAGGUUUGGGUCUCAACCUACGAGAUAUAUGUGGUCAUUUCCGCGUUAAGUCAGGAAUUUGGCGAUUACGUUCGCAAGACUAAACAUCACAGGAUCGGGCGGGGUCUCUCGCAAGCAGCCGAAGUUUUCGCUUAAUUCGAUGCGACGCGAAGAACCUUUCCUGGGUUUCACAUAUCCCGAAAAACUCUAGAGAUAUGGGGUCCUUCGGGGCCGGUCACAGGUGGUGCAUGGCUGUUUUCAGCUCAGGUCGUGAGAUUUGGGUUAAGUCCCGCAACGAGCGCAACCUAUAUCCUUCUUUCCCCGCAUUUAGUUGGGGCAUCGCAGGAGCGCCCCGGGGUCAAUUUUGAGGAAGGUGGGGAUGACGUCAAGUCAUCAUGCCCUUUCAGUCCCGGGCUGCAAACUCGUUACAUCAGCCGGUACAGAGGUCUGCAAUCUCGCGAGAGUGAGCGAAUCCCACAAAGCCGUAGUCAGUUAGGACCUGAGUAUGCAACUAAGCUCCAUGAAGCCGGAGUUGCUAGUAAUCCCGGAUCAGCACGCCGGGCAGAAUUCUUUCCCGGGCCUUGUCCACUCCGGCCCUCACUCCACGAAAGUCGGUAACACCUGAAGCCGGUGGUCCAACCCGUCAGGGAGGGAGCCGUCGAAGGUGGGAUCGGCAUAUGGGGAGAAGUCGUAACAAAGUAACCGUUCCGGAAGGUGCGGCUGGAUCACCUCCUUUCU